CCUACGGGGGGCAGCAGUAGGGAAUAUUGCACAAUGGGCGCAAGCCUGAUGCAGCCAUGCCGCGUGUGUGAAGAAGGUCUUCGGGUUGUAAAGCACUUUCAGCGGGGAGGAAGGCGGUGAGGUUAAUAACCUCAUCGAUUGACGUUACCCGCAGAAGAAGCACCGGCUAACUCCGUGCCAGCAGCCGCGGUAAUACGGAGGGUGCAAGCGUUAAUCGGAAUUACUGGGCGUAAAGCGCACGCAGGCGGUCUGUCAAGUCGGAUGUGAAAUCCCCGGGCUCAACCUGGGAACUGCAUUCGAAACUGGCAGGCUAGAGUCUUGUAGAGGGGGGUAGAAUUCCAGGUGUAGCGGUGAAAUGCGUAGAGAUCUGGAGGAAUACCGGUGGCGAAGGCGGCCCCCUGGACAAAGACUGACGCUCAGGUGCGAAGGCGUGGGGAGCAAACAGGAUUAGAUACCCGAGUAGUC
rnacentral:rRNA from 1 species